rnacentral:rRNA from 1 species
GGGCGUAAGAGCUCGUAGGUCGUUUGUCGCGUCGAUUGUGAAAAUCUGAGGCUCAACCUCAGACCUGCAGUCGAUACGGGCAAACUAGAGUGUGGUAGGGGAGACUGGAAUUCCUGGUGUAGCGGUGGAAUGCGCAGAUAUCAGGAGGAACACCAAUGGCGAAGGCAGGUCUCUGGGCCAUAACUGACACUGAGGAGCGAAAGUGCGGGGAGCGAACAGGAUUAGAUACCCUGGUAGUCCGCACCGUAAACGGUGGGCACUAGUUGUGGGAACCUUCCACGGUUUCCGCGACGCAGCAAACGCAUUAAGUGCCCCGCCUGGGGAGUACGAUCGCAAGAUUAAAACUCAAAGGAAUUGACGGGGCCCCGCACAAGCAGCGGAGCGUGUUGCUUAAUUCGAUGCAACGCGAAGAACCUUACCUGGGCUUGACAUGCAGAGAAAAGCAGUAGAGAUACUGUGUCCUUCGGGGCUUUGCACAGGUGGUGCAUGGCUGUCGUCAGCUCGUGUCGUGAGAUGUUGGGUUAAGUCCCGCAACGAGCGCAACCCUCGUCCUAUGUUGCCAGCGGGUAAUGCCGGGGACUCGUAGGAGACUGCCGGGGUCAACUCGGAGGAAGGUAAU